ACCUAAGAGAUUAGGCGUUCCCUUCGGGGACGGAAUGACAGGUGGUGCAUGGUUGUCGUCAGCUCGUGUCGUGAGAUGUUGGGUUAAGUCCCGCAACGAGCGCAACCCUUAUUGUCAGUUGCCAGCAUUUAGUUGGGCACUCUGGCGAGACUGCCGGUGACAAACCGGAGGAAGGUGGGGAUGACGUCAAAUCAUCAUGCCCCUUAUGACCUGGGCUACACACGUGCUACAAUGGACGGUACAACGAGUCGCGAAACCGCGAGGUCAAGCUAAUCUCUUAAAGCCGUUCUCAGUUCGGAUUGUAGGCUGCAACUCGCCUACAUGAAGUUGGAAUCGCUAGUAAUCGCCGGUCAGCCAUACGGCGGUGAAUCCGUCCCCGGGUCUUGUACCCCAUGA
rnacentral:rRNA from 1 species